rnacentral:rRNA from 1 species
CCCUUAGAUGUCCUGGAAUGCACGCGCGCUACACUGAUCCGAUCAGUAAGUCUUCCUUAGCCGAAGGGCUUGGGUAAUCUUCAAAUCGGAUCGUGCUGGGGAUAGAUCAUUGCAAUUAUUGAUCUUGAACGAGGAAUGCCUAGUAUGCGCGGUUCAUCAUACCGCACAGAUUACGUCCCUGCCCCUUGUACACACCGCCCGUCGCUCCUACCGAUUGAAUGACCCGGUGAAGUGUGCAGAUUGGGGCCGGAUCGUGGCAACACUUUCCGGCUCUGAAACGCACAUUAAACCUUGCCAUUUAGAGGAAGGAGAAGUCGUAACA